CACGUAGGGGGCAAGCGUUGUCCGGAUUUAUUGGGCGUAAGGAGCUCGUAGGCGGUUCGGCAAGUCGGGUGUGAAACCCCCAGGCUCAACCUGGGGACGCCACCCGAUACUGCUGUGACUUGAGUCCGGUAGGGGAGCGUGGAAUUCCUGGUGUAGCGGUGAAAUGCGCAGAUAUCAGGAGGAACACCAGCGGCGAAGGCGGCGCUCUGGGCCGGAACUGACGCUGAGGAGCGAAAGCGUGGGGAUCAAACAGG
rnacentral:rRNA from 1 species